UGGGUGGAGCCACUGCCACAGAUACUUACGACAGCUCCUUGUUAGCGGAGGUUCAGUAUCGCCUGCCGAGUGCAAAGAGUUAACAAGGAACGACAAGAAAAAGGAUGAAUAAAGUUGGUUCCUUUGAUCAUAGCUCUACAGUUAAUACACGACAAACAGGGAAAGGAUCCCAAUUUCUUACUAGUAAGGGAAACUGCCCCCGGAGGGAUAUUGUCAAGGAAAAGCUGUCACUUUUACAGUAGAGAUGAACCAUGUUUGGCAAACCAGUCAAGAAAUUUGGACCAGAAUAUAAAAUGGGUAAAAAGUUUCCUUUAUUUCUCAUUUCACCAAGCUUCUUUGAAGUACAAAUGAAAGUAGGAAUUCUGAACACUGACAAAGCUUUUCUGGAGUUCCAUAAUAGUAAGAAAUGUGGGAGUCACUGCUCUAGAGGUAAUAUAUGAUAGAUCAGCCAUAUCGAUUUGAAGGGCAUGUAACCUGUGAAUACAGCCCGUUGGUUUAUACUUGUUGGCCAAAUCUUAUUACUCCCAACACCCCCAUGCACACAUAGAUCGUCCAUGUUCUUAAUAGGAAUAUGGGAAAAUACCAUUGCCAGACCUCUAUGGCAUUGGCUUAUCUACUUUGAAACCCAACACGUCCGAUCUUUCCUUUCUUUAAUAUCUACUGUAAAUGUAUUUUCAUUAUCUCUAUUAGCUUCUACCGCAGGACAACCAGCCGACAAGACCUUCGGGCUUGAGUGGAUCAUUCUCCAACGUAAUACCCUUAAGGGGUGAUAUGCGUGCUAUGGGGGAGAUUUAUCAAAACCUGUCCAGAGGAAAAGUUGCCCAGUUACCCAUAGCAACCAAUCAGCUUGUUUCUUUCAUUUUUAACAAGGCCUCUGCAAAAUGAAAGAAGCAAUCUGAUUGGUUGCUAUGGGCAACUGGGAAAAUUUUCUUUUACACAGGUUUUGAUAAAGCUGCCCCAGUGUGUUCACUUGAGGUGAGCAGCUAAUUCAUAAAGCCUGCAUGCAGGUAACCCCAUAAUCAGGGCCCCAUAUAACUUGGGUAAUAUGCAAUGUGCUGCUGAUCUAUUUGCAGAUUUAGGGAAGUGUUUGGACACCCCAUACAUCCCAUAAUCGUGUCUCACUGAGGUGUAUCUAACAUUUUUGGUACAUUGUUAUGGGUGUGAUCGGUCAGCGUAUUCAAUUGGGUAGCUUCUCUCGCUACAGGCCUCCCUUAGGGUUUGGAUUCCUUGACUAAAGAGGAUUUUAGAUACAUUCCCCCCACUGAUUUACACCACCCUCUUUCCCAUAAAUACAUGUAUAUUGUGGUAAAAUGGGCAGGGAGGCCCAUUUAUUUAACAACCAUAAAUAACAGUUAAAUACAUUAUAACAUAUAAACAUUACCAAAGUUCACUAAACUUAAACACUUGCCCUAAAGGGCCCCUGGAAGGCCCUCCCCUCCAACAACAAAAAAAAACCUGUGCACUAUGCUCUUACCCCUGGCCACAAUCCUCUAACCCAAGGGCACCCAGGUAACCUUGUGCACAUUGCCACAGACUCCUGAGGCCCAGAACCACCACCAGGAGGCCCAGUUAAACAACAUCAUAACAUCUGACUAUUACCUCCAAGGACCCUUCCACUUGCCACCCAACCCUGAACACCAACCCAACCGAAUAAAAAAGGGUUCCUGCUUCCACAUGCCGACUGUUAAGUACAUCCCCUGGGGCAUCCCCUAAAUAUAACCUCUCCCUCCCCACCCCCU